rnacentral:misc_RNA from 1 species
GUUAGUACAUUUUGAUGGAGGCGAAACAAAAAUAAACACAACACAAAAUAAUAAGUUUUUGAAUUAGUUAUUUCCAAAUGGCGCAACUACAAUAUGAAGGGGCCUCACUACCACGCACCUAUGAUGAGCAACUGGCCCUGAACCGCGAGGAACUGGAGGCCGAGGAACUGCAUCUGAGCAGCCAGCAGCGCCAAGGCGGAUCUCCGUCCUUCAUCUGCAGACGCUGUCCAGCGCUCUUCCCCAGCAGGGAGGAGCUGGCCGCCCAUCGUCCCACACACCGACUGAAGCGUGGACAGCGGACGCCCACGUCGCAGCACGCCUGCGAGGCCUGUGGAAGGGUCUUCCAGAAGCACAACGCCCUGGUGGAGCACAUGAAUGCCCACAACGACGUGCGCAACUAUCCGUGUCCGGAGUGCCCGGCGCGCUUUGUGCAGCGCAGCAACAGGGAGUGCCACCUGAGGAACGUCCAUCGCAAGGUGUACCUGCACUCCUGUCCAGAGCCCGGAUGCGAGAAGCGCUUCCAGCAGCGGCGGGAGCGGGAUCAGCAUGUGAAGACGGUCCACCGGAAGGAACGGAACCUCGUUUGCGACACCUGCAGCGCGUGCUUUAGCCAUCCCGUAAACUAUAGGAAGCACCUGGCGUCCCAUGGCGCCGAGAAGAGCUAUGGCUGUCCGAUUUGUGGCAAGCUUUUCGGGCGGCCCGAAAACCGGGAUGUUCAUCUCUUCGUCCACAGCAUUUGUAAGGCCUAUGUGUGCUGCGUCUGCGGUGCGGAUUAUAUGCGCCGCAAUCAGUUGAUCCGCCAUGGCUUGGCCAGUGGCCACCAGAACGAUCCGAUUGUCCGGCAAAAACCCCAGUUUAGCCCUGCCCUUGCUGCGAAGAAUCGAAUCCUGUCAGAGUCCCAGGAGGAGGAGCUCCAAUGGCUGGAAGGAGAGGACGACUACGGCAGCCCAGGUUGCCUCGAGGAUUCACAGGAGGAGCGGCUAACGGAAACCGGCCAUAUGACUGCCAUCACUGCAGAGAACGAAAAGGAAAGGGAGUUUUUCGAUUGAAUAUCCAUUUAUGAAAUAUAUAUAAUCAGGUUAGUUCGAAUUGAAUAGUUAGGAGUACGUAAGAGUGAGGAAAUACUGUGAAAACAUCUAUUUAAGCAGAGAAACAUCAACGAAUGUAAUUGCUACUGCAAUCAAAUCUACACUGCAUUGUACUGAAAAAGUCGAAUACUGAAUGAUUGGACGCCGUAAAUUAAUGAUAACAUGCAAAAAUGAUUACCGCAUGCAAAACAUGAACCGGAGACGUCGUUCAAGAAAUAACAACGAAACGGAGAAAUGAAUGAAAAGUGAAUGUCGCUGCUGCUCUUGCACUUUAAUAAAAAAUGUGA